AGAGUAUCCACAGAUUUCCAUUUUUUUAACCUUACUUCUGAUUCAGGAGAGCUGUUGUUUUUCACAGCGGAGGAUUAAAGAACAUCCCCGCCCCCUCGCCCUCCUCUUUAAGGUUGAAACCAAUCACUUUCAGCUGCUGUUGGCUAAAGUGUUUGAAAGAACGCGAUUGUGUUUCAACAGGUGAGGUGUUAGGAAAUGGCGGGGAAACAUCCGGAUGCAAACUGGAGGAGGGUGUAAGAUUACAGCUUUCAGUUGGCUCAUGGAAACAGGAGUCAUGGGGGAGCAGAGAAUGCACACUGACAGCUGGACACUGCAGGGACCUCUGUUUUGUGGAGAUCCCUCUAUGCUCAGACCCUCCUAAGACUCACGGGGUGGAGAUUUCACUACCCUGAAGUUGUGGUUUUCACCACCAGCAAAGAGUCCGGAAGGAUCACCUCACUGCGGGGAACUGGAAUUAACUAUAUACGAAACCUGACACUUUCCACAGGUAACCUUAUCUUUGGAGUUUCUCUGUGGACCUUUUCUUAAAGAUCUGAGAAUGACGUCCUGCCUGCUUCAGAUUCUUUGUCCCCAGCUCUCUCUGCCCCUCCCUGUGCACACAUGCGUUCUUUCUCUCUCAAAAAUAAUAAACAAACAAACAAACAAAAGAAA